CUGUAGGCCAUCACUGUAUAUGAUUAUAUAUAUAUACUCAUGACUAUCCUUCAACUGAUACUGCUCUUUCUUUUCACUCCACAUGUGCCUAUGAGGUUGCCGGGAGCCACAGACAACAUCUGGGACAGAGACUUUGCCUUUGAACUGAAGUGUUGCCGGCCGGUUUCCUGAACUUCCAAAAGACUUUGUUUUCCUUUUCUUU